UACAGAGGGGGCAAGCGUUAUUCGGAAUUAUUGGGCGUAAAGGGCGCGUAGGCGGCUUUGCAAGUGACGGGUGAAAUCCCUCGGCUUAACCGAGGAACUGCCUGUCAGAUUGUGAGGCUUGAGACCGGGAGAGGUGAGUGGAAUUCCCAGUGUAGCGGUGAAAUGCGUAGAUAUUGGGAGGAACACCAGUGGCGAAGGCGGCUCACUGGACCGGAACUGACGCUGAGGCGCGAAAGCGUGGGGAGCAAACAGG
rnacentral:rRNA from 1 species